GGAAGUAAAAGUCGUGACAAGGUUUCCGUAGGUGAACCUGCGGAAGGAUCAUCAUUAAAUCCAAUUAUACACCCUUGUGAACUGUGCGCUGAAGUUGCUACGCUUGUCGUGCAUCUUUCGUUGCAAAAACUACUUAAUUUAAGAAAGCUGAAGCAAUUUUAUUAAGUUAAACAACUUUCAACAGUGGAUCUCUUGGCUCUC
rnacentral:misc_RNA from 1 species